rnacentral:rRNA from 1 species
GACGAACGCUGGCGGCGUGCUUAACACAUGCAAGUCGAACGGUGACCCGAAGCUUGCUUCGGUGAUCAGUGGCGAACGGGUGAGUAACACGUGAGCAACCUACCCUUGACUCCGGGAUAACAGCUGGAAACAGCUGCUAAUACCGGAUACGACCUCGACCGACAUCAGUUGAGGUGGAAAGUUCUGGCGGUCAAGGAUGGGCUCGCGGCCUAUCAGCUAGUUGGUGAGGUAACGGCUCACCAAGGCUUCGACGGGUAGCCGGCCUGAGAGGGCGACCGGCCACACUGGGACUGAGAUACGGCCCAGACUCCUACGGGAGGCAGCAGUGGGGAAUAUUGCGCAAUGGGCGAAAGCCUGACGCAGCAACGCCGCGUGCGGGAUGACGGCCUUCGGGUUGUAAACCGCUUUCACCCAUGACGAAGUGAAAAUGACGGUAGUGGGAGAAGAAGCACCGGCCAACUACGUGCCAGCAGCCGCCGAGUAAAAC